rnacentral:lncRNA from 1 species
UUAUUAUGCAACAAUUCAUUUAAAAAAAUUUUUAAGAGAAAUACAAAUAAUUUUAUUCUUCUCUUUAUUUUAUUAGAUAAAUAGAUAUAUAAAUAAAUAUAUUACAUAACUAUUAUCUUUAUGAUAAUAUAUUUUUACUUAAAUCUUAUUAUAUAAUAAAAGUUAAUUAUAUUUAUAUAUUAUUUAUUUUAUUAAGUUGUAUCAUUUAUAUAUUAAUAUUUUAUUAUUUUAUUUUAUUUAUUAUAUAUAUUAAAUUAUGUUUUAUAUAUUAUAUUAAUAUAUUUGUACUACUUAUAAAAGUGUGAGUUUAGUUUAGUUUUUUUUUCUUUCCAAAAAUAUCACUAUCUUUUUAGUAAUAUUUUCAUGUUCAGUAAUUUUGAACUAUUUAUUUCAAAUGAUUCAGUUAUUCUCAAAUAUAGAUCUUAAUUUUUUGCCAUUAAAUGUCAUGCUCCGGGGUUCAUUUGAAAACCCAUUUUAGGAAAGCUAGCGAAAAAACAUGUGAUUUGAUUUUUUUUUUUUUAUAACUCCUUUAAAGAGUACCCUGUGACGCACACAGACCUGCCACAUAGACAGAAGAUCCUCUAAACAACCGGACAGAGUCUCCCCUUUAUAUGCACGGCGCAGUACCUGAAUACAAGUAUCAAUCAUACAAACAACCACACAACGAAAGCAACAAUUAAUUAUCAA